rnacentral:rRNA from 1 species
UACGUAGGGGGCAAGCGUUGUCCGGAUUUAUUGGGCGUAAAGAGCGUGUAGGCGGCCAGGUAGGUCGGUUGUGAAAACUGGAGGCUUAACCUCCAGACGUCGACCGAAACCAUCUGGCUAGAGUCCGGAAGAGGAGAGUGGGAUUCCUGGUGUAGCGGUGAAAUGCGCAGAUAUCAGGAAGAACACCCGUGGCGAAAGCGGCUCUCUGGGACGGUACUGACGCUGAGACGCGAAAGCGUGGGGAGCGAACAGG